CCUACGGGUGGCAGCAGUGAGGAAUAUUGGUCAAUGGACGAGAGUCUGAACCAGCCAAGUAGCGUGAAGGAUGACUGCCCUAUGGGUUGUAAACUUCUUUUAUAUGGGAAUAAAACGUUCCACGUGUGGGAUUUUGUAUGUACCAUAUGAAUAAGGAUCGGCUAACUCCGUGCCAGCAGCCGCGGUAAUACGGAGGAUCCGAGCGUUAUCCGGAUUUAUUGGGUUUAAAGGAAGCGUAGGUGGAUUGUUAAGUCAGUUGUGAAAGUUUGCGGCUCAACCGUAAAAUUGCAGUUGAAACUGGCAGUCUUGAGUACAGUAGAGGUGAGCGGAAUUCGUGGUGUAGCGGUGAAAUGCUUAGAUAUCACGAAGAACUCCGAUUGCGAAGGCAGUUCACUGGACUGCAACUGACACUGAGGCUCGAAAGUGUGGGUAUCAAACAGGAUUAGAUACCCUAGUAGUC
rnacentral:rRNA from 1 species